CUCCGGGUGGCGGAGGAGGUCGCCGCCAACGGCGCUCGGAGCGUGGCGAUCACCGGUUCGGAACCGAGCCCGCUGGC
rnacentral:tRNA from 1 species